UGAAAUCCUACAGUGACUUACAAAUCAUCCAAGAAAGAUAAGGCAUUUGUUAUCUCUUUUGAAUUCUGCACAUUGUCCAAAGUGGCAAAUGAUUUAAUGGCUAUUAAGCUCCCAUUGCCCUGCCUUGGGAGCCACUACUGAGCAGAUACUACUUUGCAAACAUCUUUGGAGCACCUAUCAUGAGCAACGCCGAGUGUGGCCAUGUGUUCUAUGCCGCCAGCACACUUCAGAAAGAAGGACAUCACAUGGAAAUACAGCAGGGUAUGGUAGAUAACACCCAAACAACCACGGAGAGGACUUGGUCCUGUUCCCUGUAAAAUCAAAAUCUCCCAGGUGUGAUUUGUAGCCUAUCAUCUCGCACCUGCUUAGAAACUUCAGUCAAUCAAAUAUUUUUUUCGCUCUCUGCGAGAUUUUCUAGUUUUAUCUUUAAACCUGAAU